CUGUGGUGAGCUGGAGAGCGGCCCUGAGAGUGCCUGGUCUGAUGUCGUACACAGCCGUGGGCAGAGCGGGUCAUAGACCUGGUACAGGCUGCUAACGCUGGGGCAGCCACGCCUCUGGCCUAGUGGUGCCGUCGUGAGUUUCAAUACUGAAAGUAUAUUAAGGGAAGAUUCACUUUCAAAAAGAUAAGUUUUUCAAAAUGUUCCAUCAUGAGCCUGGAUUGGCCAAGGCUACCGUUCUCAGUGGGUGUGUUGAACAGCUUUUCUGAAGGGACAAGUUUUCAAGUUAUUCUCCAUGACUGACCAUAACUACUCCGGCUGUAUCUUAGGUUCAUAAAACACUGAUCCAAGUGCUCAUUUGUGCCCCCGAAUGUAGAUUAUCUUCACUUUUUCGUCAUAAUUCCAUCUUUCAGGAUGUUUCUAGAAAUAUGGCUAAUCAUAAAUAGUACUGAAAAAAAGAAUCUGUGACUCAUGGUCUUACAGCAUAGAUCACUGCUUUCCAAGAGUCCUGCUACUAAACACUCAUGGUGUAGACAACAAUGUGUGCAGCAGAGACGUGCUUCUGGUCCUGAGGACAGGAUCUGCCUGAUCAUCUUGAGAGCAUACACGUGACCCUUGUGCAUUACCU
rnacentral:lncRNA from 1 species